rnacentral:rRNA from 1 species
UAGAGUUUGAUCCUGGCUCAGAUUGAACGCUGGCGGCGUGCCUAACACAUGCAAGUCGAGCGGUAACAGGUGUAGCAAUACAUGCUGACGAGCGGCGGACGGGUGAGUAACGCUUGGGAAUCUGCCUGUUAGUGGGGGACAACCCGGGGAAACUCGGGCUAAUACCGCAUACGCACUACGGUGGAAAGCCGGGGACCGCAAGGCCUGGCGCUAACAGAUGAGCCCAAGUCGGAUUAGCUAGUUGGUAGGGUAACGGCCUACCAAGGCGACGAUCCGUAACUGGUCUGAGAGGACGACCAGUCACACCGGAACUGAGACACGGUCCGGACUCCUACGGGAGGCAGCAGUGGGGAAUAUUGGACAAUGGGCGAAAGCCUGAUCCAGCGACGCCGCGUGGGUGAAGAAGGCCUGCGGGUUGUAAAGCCCUUUCGGUGGGGAAGAAAAGCCUCGAGCUAAUACCUCGGGGUCUUGACGUAACCCAUAGAAGAAGCACCGGCUAACUCUGUGCCAGCAGCCGCGGUAAUACAGAGGGUGCGAGCGUUAAUCGGAAUUACUGGGCGUAAAGCGCGCGUAGGCGGCUUUGCAAGUCGGGUGUGAAAUCCCCAGGCUUAACCUGGGAACUGCAUUCGAGACUGCAUUGCUAGAGUAUGGGAGAGGGAAGUGGAAUUUCCGGUGUAGCGGUGAAAUGCGUAGAUAUCGGAAGGAACAUCAGUGGCGAAAGCGACUUCCUGGACCAAUACUGACGCUCAUGUGCGAAAGCGUGGGGAGCAAACAGGAUUAGAUACCCUGGUAGUCCACGCCAUAAACGAUGAGAACUGGAUGUCGGGAGGGUCUGCCUCUCGGUGUCGUAGCUAACGCGUUAAGUUCUCCGCCUGGGGAGUAC